UUAAGCGACUAAGCGUACACGGUGGAUGCCCUGGCAGUCAGAGGCGAUGAAGGACGUGCUAAUCUGCGAAAAGCGUCGGUAAGGUGAUAUGAACCGUUAUAGCCGGCGAUGUCCGAAUGGGGAAACCCAGUGCAAUUCGUUGCACUAUCGUUAACUGAAUACAUAGGUUAACGAGGCGAACCGGGGGAACUGAAACAUCUAAGUACCCCGAGGAAAAGAAAUCAACCGAGAUUCCCCCAGUAGCGGCGAGCGAACGGGGAGCAGCCCAGAGUCUGAAUCAGCUUGUGUGUUAGUGGAACGGUCUGGAAAGUCCGACGGUACAGGGUGAUAGUCCCGUACACCAAAAUGCACAGGCUGUGAACUCGAAGAGUAGGGCGGGACACGUGGUAUCCUGUCUGAAUAUGGGGGGACCAUCCUCCAAGGCUAAAUACUCCUGACUGACCGAUAGUGAACCAGUACCGUGAGGGAAAGGCGAAAAGAACCCCGGCGAGGGGAGUGAAAAAGAACCUGAAACCGUGUACGUACAAGCAGUGGGAGCACCUUCGGGUGUGACUGCGUACCUUUUGUAUAAUGGGUCAGCGACUUAUAUUCUGUAGCAAGGUUAACCGUAUAGGGGAGCCGCAGGGAAACCGAGUCUUAACUGGGCGUUAAGUUGCAGGGUAUAGACCCGAAACCCGGUGAUCUAGCCAUGGGCAGGUUGAAGGUUGGGUAACACUAACUGGAGGACCGAACCGACUAAUGUUGAAAAAUUAGCGGAUGACUUGUGGCUGGGGGUGAAAGGCCAAUCAAACCGGGAGAUAGCUGGUUCUCCCCGAAAGCUAUUUAGGUAGCGCCUCGUGAACUCAUCUUCGGGGGUAGAGCACUGUUUCGGCUAGGGGGUCAUCCCGACUUACCAACCCGAUGCAAACUACGAAUACCGAAGAAUGUUAUCACGGGAGACACACGGCGGGUGCUAACGUCCGUCGUGAAGAGGGAAACAACCCAGACCGCCAGCUAAGGUCCCAAAGUCAUGGUUAAGUGGGAAACGAUGUGGGAAGGCACAGACAGCCAGGAUGUUGGCUUAGAAGCAGCCAUCAUUUAAAGAAAGCGUAAUAGCUCACUGGUCGAGUCGGCCUGCGCGGAAGAUGUAACGGGGCUAAACCAUGCACCGAAGCUGCGGCAGCGACACUAUGUGUUGUUGGGUAGGGGAGCGUUCUGUAAGCCUGCGAAGGUGACCUGUGAGGGUUGCUGGAGGUAUCAGAAGUGCGAAUGCUGACAUAAGUAACGAUAAAGCGGGUGAAAAGCCCGCUCGCCGGAAGACCAAGGGUUCCUGUCCAACGUUAAUCGGGGCAGGGUGAGUCGACCCCUAAGGCGAGGCCGAAAGGCGUAGUCGAUGGGAAACAGGUUAAUAUUCCUGUACUUGGUGUUACUGCGAAGGGGGGACGGAGAAGGCUAUGUUAGCCGGGCGACGGUUGUCCCGGUUUAAGCAUGUAGGCUGAUUGUCCAGGCAAAUCCGGAUAAUCAAGGCUGAGGUGUGAUGACGAGGCACUACGGUGCUGAAGUAACAAAUGCCCUGCUUCCAGGAAAAGCCUCUAAGCAUCAGGUAACAUCAAAUCGUACCCCAAACCGACACAGGUGGUCAGGUAGAGAAUACCAAGGCGCUUGAGAGAACUCGGGUGAAGGAACUAGGCAAAAUGGUGCCGUAACUUCGGGAGAAGGCACGCUGGUGUGUAGGUGAAGUCCCUGCGGAUGGAGCUGAGACCAGUCGAAGAUACCAGCUGGCUGCAACUGUUUAUUAAAAACACAGCACUGUGCAAACACGAAAGUGGACGUAUACGGUGUGACGCCUGCCCGGUGCCGGAAGGUUAAUUGAUGGGGUUAUCCGUAAGGAGAAGCUCUUGAUCGAAGCCCCGGUAAACGGCGGCCGUAACUAUAACGGUCCUAAGGUAGCGAAAUUCCUUGUCGGGUAAGUUCCGACCUGCACGAAUGGCGUAAUGAUGGCCAGGCUGUCUCCACCCGAGACUCAGUGAAAUUGAACUCGCUGUGAAGAUGCAGUGUACCCGCGGCAAGACGGAAAGACCCCGUGAACCUUUACUAUAGCUUGACACUGAACAUUGAGCCUUGAUGUGUAGGAUAGGUGGGAGGCUUUGAAGCGUGGACGCCAGUCUGCGUGGAGCCAACCUUGAAAUACCACCCUUUAAUGUUUGAUGUUCUAACGUUGGCCCCUGACCGGGGUUGCGGACAGUGUCUGGUGGGUAGUUUGACUGGGGCGGUCUCCUCCCAAAGCGUAACGGAGGAGCACGAAGGUUAGCUAAUCCUGGUCGGACAUCAGGAGGUUAGUGCAAUGGCAUAAGCUAGCUUGACUGCGAGCGUGACGGCGCGAGCAGGUGCGAAAGCAGGUCAUAGUGAUCCGGUGGUUCUGAAUGGAAGGGCCAUCGCUCAACGGAUAAAAGGUACUCCGGGGAUAACAGGCUGAUACCGCCCAAGAGUUCAUAUCGACGGCGGUGUUUGGCACCUCGAUGUCGGCUCAUCACAUCCUGGGGCUGAAGUAGGUCCCAAGGGUAUGGCUGUUCGCCAUUUAAAGUGGUACGCGAGCUGGGUUUAGAACGUCGUGAGACAGUUCGGUCCCUAUCUGCCGUGGGCGCUGGAGAAUUGAGGGGGGCUGCUCCUAGUACGAGAGGACCGGAGUGGACGCAUCACUGGUGUUCGGGUUGUCAUGCCAAUGGCACUGCCCGGUAGCUAAAUGCGGAAGAGAUAAGUGCUGAAAGCAUCUAAGCACGAAACUUGCCCCGAGAUGAGUUCUCCCUGAGACUUUAAGUCUCCUGAAGGAACGUUAAAGACGAUGACGUUGAUAGGCCGGGUGUGUAAGCGCAGCGAUGCGUUGAGCUAACCGGUACUAAUGAACCGUGAGGCUUAACCUU
rnacentral:rRNA from 1 species